rnacentral:rRNA from 1 species
GACAGAGGGUGCAAACGUUGUUCGGAUUUACUGGGCGUAAAGCGCGUGUAGGCGGCUUGGCAAGUUGAAUGUGAAAGCCCACGGCUCAACCGUGGAAGCGCAUCCAAAACUGCUUCGCUCGAGUCUCGGAGAGGAAGGUGGAAUGCUUGGUGUAGAGGUGAAAUUCGUAGAUACCAAGCAGAACACCUGCGGCGAAAGCGGCGCACUGGACCACAACUGACGCUGAGGCGCGAAAGCUAGGGGAGCAAACAGG